rnacentral:rRNA from 3 species
GCAUAAUAAAUCGCCCUUUAAUUGUGGGCUAGUAUGAACGGAUAAACGAAGGCUUAGCUGUCUCAACUAUAAAAAUAAAAAUUGGCCUUUAGGUGAAAAGACCUAAAUAUAAUUAGAGGACAAAAAGACCCCGUAGAGCUUUAUAUUUUAUCAACUUCGUUCUUUCACUAUGUGUAAAAAACCAUUUUUGUUAAAAAUUUUUAGCUGGGGCGGCUAUGGAACAAAAAACUUCCACAAACAAAUAAAGAUAUACUAAUCUUAUAAAUUAAUGAUCCUAAUUUAGAUCAAAGAAAAUAGCUACCUCGGGGAUAACAGAUUAAUCCCUUUUGAGAGUUCACAUUGACAAAGGAUUUUGAUACCUCGAUGUUGGCUUAGGGCCCCCAGAGGGUCAGCAGCAGCCCUCUAUGGUAGGUUUGUUCAACCUUUAAAGCCCU